GCUUGGAUAGCUCAGUCAGUAGAGCAGGAGGCUCUUAAUCUCAGGGUUGGGAGUUCAAGCCCCACGUUGGGCA
rnacentral:tRNA from 1 species